rnacentral:rRNA from 1 species
AUGCCUAAACCAAAGGAGAUCAAUAUUCAAGUAAAAAGUAUCGAUGCUGCCGCAGGAGAGACACUGGACGUUUUGGAGGAUACAAGCAAAGGAAAUGUGAUCUUCGUCCGUGGUUGGCAUGGAUUUGGGGCAUCAGCAACACUCAAGGCAGUAGCUCAACGCCUGAAAUCAUCAAAAUCAAACUUUGACAGGGUUGUUCAUGUGGAUUGCUCGCUGUGGAAAAGCAUGAGGGCCCUGCAAAAGUCGGUCGCGGAGGAGCUAGAGCUUCCACCAUCGGUGAUGGCCAUCUUCGAUCGGCGGGACGAGGAGGAUGAUUUCAGUGGGAUAGACGAAGGCUCUCGAGGGGUGAUACCAAAUAUCAGAACAGAAAUCUUCAGAAAGCUUGCUAGCAGUAGAUUCGUGGUGAUAUUUCACAAUGGGAGUGACAAAUACAUUGACCUGUAUAAGUGUGGUGUUCCGGUAACAUCAGUUUUGAGUAUCAAGGUGUUGUGGACCUGGCACGGGAGGUUUCAAUCCAAAUACAUACGUCUCCGUAAACGGACAAAGAUGGAGCUGCAUACUGAUGUUGUUGUCAAUUUUUCUCAUGAUGACUGCAUCCGUGAUGAAGCACUAUUGGAAGAGGCCAAGGAGAUUGUCGCUUAUAUGGGUAUUCCAGAGCCUUACAUGAACCAUAUAAUAGUUGACAAGUGUUUCCAGUAUGCCUAUGCACUGGGAUCUGUCAGUUGGUUCGGUUGGGGGAACUGGGAGGACCAUGUUUUUAACUACUUUGUGUGUGAUGGGAUUAUACAAGGGCAAGGCGAUAGUUCAGCAUGGGGAGUAGCCGAUGCUCUACAGAGAAACAUGUCUAUGGAUUGGCUUCGUUUCCGCACUGAUGAUGAUGUUCUUCGCCACCUGCAGUGCAGGCUUCAUGACCACUUGCUUUUGGUGCAACACAAGAAGGGCCUCCUACCUGAUAAUAUUGGCAUGGAUCUUUCUGAGGUGACAUCCUGCUUCAUCUUACCAGAUGGCAACAUCUAUUAUUACCAGAUGACGACAUUACCAGAUGGCAUAUUGCAACAUUCACACAGCAGCAAGCUGCGUGUGUUACAUCUCUCUUGGUGCGGCUUCAGUUUUGAAUCGCCUCCCUUCCUCUGUUGCAGCCAGCUAAGACUCCUCCAGCUGAAGAACUGCAGAAAUAUCCCAUCAGAUAAGCAUCCAAGCCACAAUGAAGUGAUGUCAUGCUUCCAGAAGCUGUGGGUGCUGCACCUGAGAUCUACAAACUGGUAUCGAUUACUAUCAGAAGAGAUGAUGAACUUUAUGGUUGACCUCAGGGAGUUGACUGUAGAAGAAGUCGAGGAUUGGAGCAUAAGUGAUUUACGUGGCAGGGGACCUUCCCUUGUCAAGGUCCACGUAGAGGAACAAGGCUACUACUUACCAACCAAGGACCAGAACUUGCCUGACCUGUCUAGCGCAAGCUUCCUUAAGGCAGUCAUCCUUAUCAAUUGUGUUCAUGUGGAACAGGUUGUCCCCGGCAUGCUGCCCCCAUUGCUUGAGUCAUUCACCUUCUCGCGUGAUUCUUAUACUCAUGACUACGCCAGGAUAUCUAGAAUUUCCUUCCGGGGUUGUUCUCAGUUGAAGAGUAUACUAUUGCAAGGAGAUCUAGGGAAACUCGAGGAGCUGGACCUCUCAGGCACAGCAGUGAAAACCCUCGACCUCAGAGAGUUGGAAAUUAACAAUAUCAAAUUCCUCAUCUUGUUGGGCUGUGAGAAGCUUUAUGCAAUAUUAUGGCCACUAGAAAACAAAAUGACAAAGGUUUUGGAGGUAAUGCACAUCGACACCACACGAUCUACAUCACAUGGCCAAGCUAAUUGGGAAGAAAAACCAAGGGACCCUAUUGCAGCUGUAGGAUCAUCAUCUAUUCUUGUUGCUACUGCUACUGAACUAGGCAUCAGUCAACAUGCGUCCUUUGAUUUUAAAUGGUACAUCUCUCUAAGGGAUACAAGGAUCCUUAGGUCGCUUGAACCGGUUAAAUAUAAUGAGCAAAAUCAUAUAUAUAUGGAAAUGGGUUCAUCUCCUACAAGUGGUGCUAUUGCUAGUGACAGUGAAGCUGCUCAAGGAAUCCGGAGUCUGUGUAGGCCUGAUAAGUAUUUAUAUUCAAGGGGUAUCUUCUUUCAAUUCAACCAGCGGGCUGGCGCUGAAAAUGAAGGUGCAAUCAGCUGGAUGUCGGAUUGCCCAGCUAUUCCUACUCCAACAGCUCAAGACUUGUAUGUUCACAUACAAGAUAAUCAGGGGAUGAAGAGGGGAUUACUGCAGCAACAACAAAGCAACAUGGAAGGAAUUAAUACUAGUGCUGACUUAACCGCUUGUUUGGUAUUUAACAGUGCUCGCAUGCUUCACGUGCAUGAUAGCUCAUCCAUCACUUGCAUCACAUGCCCGCAAGGUUCAUACUGGAGGAGCCUUGAAUGGUGUCGAGUCGAGAGGUGCCCCGAGCUGCGUACUGUCUUUCGUACUGCCCAGCAAAGUGAGGGUGAUAGCUUCUGUCAUCAGCUGAGCACAUUCUGGGCAUCUCAACUCCUGAAGGCACGCUACAUCUGGUAUUGGAGUGCAAUGCGUGUGUUUUCCUCUGUAAACAUAGUACUGUUGCACCUGGACUAUUGCCCUAGGCUCAUACACGUGCUUCCCUUGUCGGAGUCUGUGGACACUUUGCCUUGCCUAGAUACCCUGGAAAUUGUGUGUUGCGGUGAUCUUAGGGAGAUCUUCGCUUUGGACCCUAAGCAAAAGGAGCAGAAAGUUAUACAGUUUCCCAAGCUAAGGCGCAUCCACCUGUAUGAGCUCCCCAGCCUGCGGCGCAUCUGUGGGAGCAAGAUGUCCGCGCCCAACUUGGAGACCAUCAAGAUUAGGGGCUGCUGGAGCCUCAAGUGCCUUCCUGCUGUCAGCGGAAACAACCAGAAGCUGCCUAGUGUGGACUGUGAGAAGGAAUGGUGGGAUAACCUUGAGUUGGACGGGGUGGAGGCGAACCACCACUCUUCACUCUAUGAGCAUAGCCACUCGUCAUACUACAAGGCCCAGCUGCCAAGAGGCACAGUUUUAAGGUAA